AUAUAAAAGUAUCUGCCUCCCCUUAGUGUCCCUCUUCAGGAAAGUAGCAACUUGUAAUAAGAUCUGGCAUGCCACAGCUUUUCAGGGCAGAAGGUCGUGUGUAAUUUCCUUUGCCUUUCUUUGGCUGCCUACGUGU